CUGGUCCUGAUCCUGUUAUUGUAGUUCCCUCUGUACUUCUAUUGCUGUUGGUUUUUGGACUUCUGGCUGCCUUUAAAAUAUGGAGGAAGAGAUGUUCACAGCCUGAGCAGAUCAUCUACAUACCUACCUCAGCUGAUGACCAAACAACAGAACAGCGGAUAUGACAUGUAAAGUGGCACCAAAUGAUCUGUUCACAUUUACAGACUGGAAGCAUUUUGUAAACUGACUGAACUGAAAACACUUUAAUCAGUAUUUUUUUUAAAAAUCUUUUUGUUUAAAUAGGCUAGAAAUUACUGCAUGUAUCUAACAGGUUUCCUCUAAUGCCAAGUUUGUCUGAACACAGCUGUUUAUGUUAGCAUGCCUGUUUGCCAGAUUGCAUUGCCAGCAAAUCAGCCACCAGAACUCCUCAGUAUUAUUUAAAACUGUUCGAACUUUCAAUAGUGUGCUAAUAAACAAACAUUUGUUAUA